CAAAGACCAGAGUCUGCAUAAGUUCUUCAGAACAAUAUUAGUUUUAACAGACUGCACUUGAUGAUACAAAGGAAUCCGAGUCACAGAACAUUCCCUGGAUUCUAAAAGUGAAUACUGCAACAUGCACUCAGAAGAAUUCAAUUUAUAACCAUGAAAAGAGAAUGAUCAACUCCACAUCCAGCUCAACAGUAUAUAUGUACACCUGCCAACAGCCAAGGAAGCAGGAAAUCUGUUAGACUGCCCCACCAGAAGACAACUCAGAGGCCAGCUAACCUGCAGUGCUGUAGGAGCAGACAGUAAAAUAAUGCUAAGGAAAAUGGUCACAGAAGCCUUUAGGAGAAGUCUAGUAACCACAGAAAGUGAAAGUGUGUUGUUUAAAAAAAGAAGAAGAGAAGGAAUUAAAGUAUAUAAGACAACACAAGGUACCACUGAUGCUUUGUGGAAGAUUUGAUUGCUGGGCUCCGUAUGUGGAAUAUGAGAUUUGGACUUCAACUGAAUGGGACUGGAGUUUUCAUAGACUUCAAGGUUACAGUGAAGUUUUCCUAAAACUCCACUAAUUCAGGGAAGCUCCAAGGGCAGGAGUGACCUUUACUCUUGAAACUGAAGUGGAAGAGAAAUAGGCAAUCUCCUUUGGCUUUACAGUGAAGUAUUUAUUGCCAUGAGCUGCCCUGUUUUGGUUG